UACGUAGGGCGCAAGCGUUGUCCGGAAUUAUUGGGCGUAAAGAGCUCGUAGGCGGUUUGUCGCGUCUGCUGUGAAAGCCCGGGGCUCAACCCCGGGUCUGCAGUGGGUACGGGCAGACUAGAGUGCAGUAGGGGAGACUGGAAUUCCUGGUGUAGCGGUGAAAUGCGCAGAUAUCAGGAGGAACACCGGUGGCGAAGGCGGGUCUCUGGGCCGUAACUGACGCUGAGGAGCGAAAGCGUGGGGAGCGAACAGG
rnacentral:rRNA from 1 species